CUCACGUCGCGUCGUCUCUUCGAAGUUCGCAAAUAAAAUCGAGACUCGUGAUCGGGCCAGGGUCCAGCCCAUCUGUCUGGCCAUGUUGGAGGUAUUAAAUCUUCAGAACUGAGGCCCAAUCCAAAAUUUUGGUCCAUGAGCAUGUGCGGUUGGUCCAAGCCGGCCCACCAGGCAGAGAACAGCAACGGCCACAGAGACAUCGUCAGAAUUUCUAACUUUCAGUCUGCUUGAAUAUUGAGCUUCCAAGUCGAUAUUACUAGGUUUUCAACUGAAAAUCGUAUCGAGACUGUGGAUAUUUAUGCUGGAACGAGUUUUAGAGGGUGGGGAAUGAUACAAUGGUUUUUAAGGCGUGCUUUCGUGAAUUAAAAGACACGUAGAGUUAUAAAAUCAAGUAAAUAAUUUUUUAAAUGUAAACACUUCUAAGGCCGCCGCUCAUUGGCUCAACCGAAAGCGGGUAGGAAAUAAUGUAUGUUUGCACAGGUGUGAAACGUUGCUAUUGGUUCGAUUCCAUUCUUUACAUUUCAGAUUGUGUCAGUAACUAAAUUUGCGAUUUAUCAACGAAUGCUCGAAAAUUUUAUGGAUCAUUCUGGAAUUUUAUUUUUCGAUUGUAUACCUUUUAUUCAUUACUUAUAUGAUUUUUCAAUUUGUAUGGAAUCAGCUCUGGAAACAAAAACAGUCCUAAACUUUUGUGGAAAUAUGACAAUAUACAUUUUACUUCCUCUUUUUGAUUAGAAUGUUGAUUUCCGGGAUUUUCAAAGAAAAAAAUAUUGAU